rnacentral:rRNA from 1 species
UGCCAGCAGCCGCGGUAAUACGUAGGGUGCAAACGUUGUUCGGAAUCACUGGGCAUAAAGCGCACGUAGGCGGCCAGAUCAGUUCGGUGUGAAAGCCCCCGGCUCAACCGGGGAACUGCAUCGAAUACUGUCUGGCUUGAGGAUGGUUGGGGUGAGUGGAACUCCUGGUGGAGCGGUGAAAUGCGUAGAUAUCAGGAGGAACACCAGUGGCGAAGGCGGCUUUCUGGACCAAUACUGACGCUGAGCUGCGAAAGCGUGGGGAGCGAACAGGAUUAGAUA